rnacentral:piRNA from 1 species
UUGGAGAAGGUCAGGUGACAGUUUGUCUGU